UUUCGCCAUCUCGUCAUUUGGUAGGGCUCAAGCUUCGGCCAGUAGAGAAGCCGAAGCUGAAGCCCUCCCAAACGGGGCCUUAGUUACCUGCCAUCCCAUCGGGUGCUGGACACAACACACCACCCUCACGUUUUCUCUUGGGACUGUUCCUCACCCGGCCUGACGUCAAGCACUCAUCACACUGUGUGAUUGGCGUCCCCUUCAGCCACAUGGUGGGGGUAGGGGAGUUUCUUGCCUCGGCCGCAUUGAAGAAGGUCGGCGGCAUGCUAGGUAGUGCCAUCUGGGAGGCGAUCGCCUCGCAGCUGAAGCUAGGUGAUGAGCUCAAAGGCCUCAAGGAUACUGUGGAUACCAUCCAAAAUAGCAUGGUUAGGGCGGAGAAGCGGCUGAUGAAAGAUGGUGACGUCUGCGUCUGGAUGAGGAAGCUAAAGGCAGCAGCCUAUGACAUGGAGGACAUUAUUAUUGGAAUUGGAAGGUGAUAUCCUGAGUAAUAAAGAUGGCUCUCAGAAUAACAAAUCUACAACGGAGAUCUCCAUUCCUCUGAAGUUGCGGCUAAACAUGCCUAGCAAGUUGAAGGCCAUGAAGCAAAGAUUGGACGACAUAGAAAAGCUGAGGCAGUUCGACUUGAUGGUGGACACAAGCUCUGACGACCAGGACGUGAUCCAGACAAGGGCUACAGGCCCUUGCCUUGUAGAAGGUAUACUUGGGAGGGACAAGGACAAGGUAGAGUUGAUGAAGUUGCUGCAAGAAGAUUGCAAACACAUCAUCAUCCCUAUAUAUGGCUUUGGUGGUCUGGGUAAAACCACCUCUCGCCCAAAUGGUUUUUGACGACAAUACAACUAAGAGAGAUUUUGAUAUCCAGAUUUGGGUUUAUGUCUCCACAAGUUUUAGCGAUGAAAAGAUUGGUCGAUCAAUUAUCUCCCAAGUAGAUGGACAGAGUAACCAGUAUGACCUGUCCUCCGUGCAGAUGCGCGUGGAGAUGAUCCUCCGUGGAAAGAAGUAUCUUAUUGUUUUAGAUGACUUAUGGGAAGAAAACACAGGACAAUUGGAAAAGAUAGAAGCGAUGUUGAAAGGUGGCGCACCAGGCAGAAAGAUAAUUGUGACCACUCGAAGUGAACAGGUUGCUAAGCGGCUGAAUCGUGAGUUGCCAUUCAAGUUGGGUGCCUUGCCGUACGAUGACUGCUGGAAGCUGUUCAAAGCUAAGGCAUUUCCAAAUGGAAUUAAAGAAUCUGAAAUGGCAAAGGUACAUAUGGGGGAGAAAAUAGUAAAGAAAUGCGGUGGAGUGCCUUUGGCAGUCAAGUCUCUUGGGGAUCGUCUGCUAGAUAUGCCGAUGCACAAGUAGGAAGAAACACUGAAGAGUGACCUGUGGGAAGACGAAUGCGAUCCAACGACUGGAACAACAUCUACUUUAAUAUUACCAUCCUUGAAGAUUAGUUACUACCACAUGCCAUAUUAUCUGAGACCUUGCUUUGUAUACUUUUCUGCCUUCCCAAAAGGCUUCAUCAUAGAGAAGAGAGAACUGAUUCAUAAGUGGAUUGCUCUGAGAUUUGUUCUGACCACACAUCGUGCUGAGGAAUACCUACUAGAACUUUGUCAGAUGUCAUUCCUGGAGGCUUCAAGUGACUCUAUCUCGAUAGAAGAAACGUCAACUUGGUUGUCUUGACACAAUUGCUACUGGAGAGAAAAUAAUGUUCAUUCGUUGCAAUUUUAAACCCUUUGCACUCCCUUUGACUGCUCUAGCAUCUCCAUGCGGGACGGCUGAUGUGGCAAUGAUCAAUCUCGUUUCUAAAUGUGAAAUUGGCAUGCUCUUUAUAUAU